AAGGAGUUAAUUUAAAAUAAAAUAAUUAUUUGUCAAAUAAAAAACACAUAAAAGUCAAUGUACUUCUUG
rnacentral:tRNA from 1 species